UGCAAGUCGAGGGGCAGCGGGAUUGAAGCUUGCUUCAAUUGCCGGCGACCGGCGCACGGGUGAGUAACGCGUACCCAACCUUCCGUACACUCAGGGAUAGCCUUUCGAAAGAAAGAUUAAUACCUGAUGGUAUGAUGAGAUUGCAUGAUAGCAUCAUUAAAGAUUCAUCGGUGUACGAUGGGGAUGCGUUCCAUUAGGUAGUAGGCGGGGUAACGGCCCACCUAGCCUACGAUGGAUAGGGGUUCUGAGAGGAAGGUCCCCCACAUUGGAACUGAGACACGGUCCAAACUCCUACGGGAGGCAGCAGUGAGGAAUAUUGGUCAAUGGACGAGAGUCUGAACCAGCCAAGUAGCGUGAAGGAUGAAGGUCCUACGGAUUGUAAACUUCUUUUAUAAGGGAAUAAAACCUCCCACGUGUGGGAGCUUGUAUGUACCUUAUGAAUAAGCAUCGGCUAACUCCGUGCCAGCAGCCGCGGUAAUACGGAGGAUGCGAGCGUUAUCCGGAUUUAUUGGGUUUAAAGGGAGCGCAGACGGGUCGUUAAGUCAGCUGUGAAAGUUUGGGGCUCAACCUUAAAAUU
rnacentral:rRNA from 1 species